rnacentral:rRNA from 1 species
CAUGCAAGUCGAGCGCCCCGCAAGGGGAGCGGCAGACGGGUGAGUAACGCGUGGGAAUCUACCGUGCCCUACGGAAUAGCUCCGGGAAACUGGAAUUAAUACCGUAUACGCCCUACGGGGGAAAGAUUUAUCGGGGUAUGAUGAGCCCGCGUUGGAUUAGCUAGUUGGUGGGGUAAAGGCCUACCAAGGCGACGAUCCAUAGCUGGUCUGAGAGGAUGAUCAGCCACAUUGGGACUGAGACACGGCCCAAACUCCUACGGGAGGCAGCAGUGGGGAAUAUUGGACAAUGGGCGCAAGCCUGAUCCAGCCAUGCCGCGUGAGUGAUGAAGGUCUUAGGAUUGUAAAGCUCUUUCACCGGUGAAGAUAAUGACGGUAACCGGAGAAGAAGCCCCGGCUAACUUCGUGCCAGCAGCCGCGGUAAUACGAAGGGGGCUAGCGUUGUUCGGAAUUACUGGGCGUAAAGCGCAUGUAGGCGGAUAUUUAAGUCAGGGGUGAAAUCCCGCAGCUCAACUGCGGAACUGCCUUUGAUACUGGGUAUCUUGAGUAUGGAAGAGGUGAGUGGAAUUCCGAGUGUAGAGGUGAAAUUCG